rnacentral:tmRNA from 1 species
GGGGUUGACUGGAUUUGACAGCGGGAAGAAAUGGUAGGUAAGCAUGCAGUGCUUCGUUGGCUGGCACUUUAAUCUCAGUCCUCGAAAAUUUAUCUGGCGAAAGACAAUACGCUCUCGCUGCGUGAUUGAAGCAUAGUAGAUCGACGCUUAAUCCCGGCACAAGGUGCUGGGACGGGACAUCACUCGGAAGCUGUUGCUCCGAAGCAUUCCGGUCAAGUGGUGCAGCUACAUCGGAGAUAGUCAACGUCGGCCUUGCGGCGUAGAUGAAGUUUUUUAGAGGAUAAGGUUGCGGUUGAUGGCUUUGGUUCUGCCGCGGCAUGAAAAUUUAGGCAAAGAUAAGCAUGUAGAAAGCUUAUGAUUUCCUCGUUUGGACGAGGGUUCGAUUCCCUCCAGCUCCAC